rnacentral:misc_RNA from 1 species
GCAAACUUGGUCAUUUAGAGGAAGUAAAAGUCGUAACAAGGUUUCCGUAGGUGAACCUGCGGAAGGAUCAUUAAUGAAUUUACAAAGCUGGAUGGAGCUGUCGCUGGCCUCUCGAGGCAAUGUGCACGCUCUGUUCAACCUUUUAUCCAUCUCACCCCUGUGCACCUUUGCGUUGGUCAAACGAUGGACGAUGAUAUAUUAUCGUUGUCUUUCGUUGGCUUGCGUUCAUUUUUAUACAAAACCUAUUGUAUGGUAAUUGGGAAUGUUGGCUUAUCAUGUAUCGUAAUAUAUGUUGUAUAUUGACAUGCAUGAAUGGGAUAAUAAAAACAACUUUCAACAACGGAUCUCUUGGCUCUCGCAUCGAUGAAGAACGCAGC